rfam:Rattus norvegicus chromosome 13, whole genome shotgun sequence.
GGGGAUUUAGCUCAGUGGUAGAGCAAUUGCCUAGCAAGCGCAAGGCCCUGGGUUCGGUCCCCAGCUCCA